AGCGAACGUUAGCGGCGCGCCUAACACAUGCAAGUCGCACGAGAAACGGAGCAAUCCGCGGUACAGUGGCGCACGGGUGAGUAACACGUGGAUGACCUUCCCUGGAGUGGUGGAUAACCUGCCGAAAGGCGGGCUAAUACAGCAUGGGACCACGACGCUUUGGCGAUGUGGUGAAAGCGGGCCUCUAUAUAUAAGCUCGCGCUCCGGGACGGGUCCGCGUCCCAUCAGCUAGUUGGUGAGGUAACGGCUCACCAAGGCGAACGACGGGUAGGCUGGUCUGAGAGGAUGGCCAGCCACACUGGAACUGAGACACGGUCCAGACUCCUACGGGAGGGCAGCAGUGGGGAAGUCUUGCGCAAUGGGCGGAAAGACCUGACGCAGCGACGCCGCGU
rnacentral:rRNA from 1 species